AGGGCUGACGGUGGAUGCCUUGGCGUACAGAGGCGAUGAAGGACGUGGCUAGCUGCGAUAAUCUUCGGGUAGGUGCUAAGCAACCUUUGAUCCGGAGGUCUCCGAAUGGGAAAACCUCAACGGCUCGUCCGUUGAUCAUACACUGAAUACAUAGGUGUAUGAGGCUAACCUGGUGAAGUGAAACAUCUCAGUAACCAGAGGAAAAGAAAUCAAAAUGAGAAUCCCUCAGUAGCGGCGAGCGAACGGGGAAUAGGCCAAACUGAUAGGAUUCGUCCUAUCAGGGUUGUAGGGCCCUCAACAUAGGACCGCAAGGGAAAGCAGAAACGACUGGAAAGAGUUCCACAGAGGGUGAUAGACCCGUAUGCGAAAUCUUGAGCGGCUUUAGAGGGUACCUGAGUACCACAGGGCACGUGUAACCCGGUGGGAAUCUGGGAGGACCAUCUUCCAAGCCUAAUUACUACUGUACGACCGAUAGUGAACCAGUACCGUGAGGGAAAGGUGAAAAGUACCCCGGCUAGGGGCAGUGAAAUAGUACCUGAAACCGUCAGCUUACAAGCAGUUCGAGGACUAUAGCUUCGGCUACGUCUGAGAGCGUGCCUUUUGAAUGAUGAGUCCACGAGUUGCGUUACGUCGCAAGGUUAAGCCGUUAGGUGUAGCCGCAGGGAAACCGAGUAUGAAUAGUGCGUAUAGUGGCGUGACGCAGACCCGAAGCGUUGUGAUCUACACAUGGCCAGGAUGAAGCGCGGGUAAAACCGCGUGGAGGUCCGGACCCACCAAAGUUGAAAAUUUGGGGGAUGAGCUGUGUGUAGGGGUGAAAGGCUAAUCAAACUACGUGAUAGCUGGUUCUCUCCGAAAAAUAUUUAGGUAUUGCCUCGAGGCAUUCACUGCCGGCGGUAGAGCACUCAAAGGGCUAGGGGGCCUACCCGCUUACCAAACCCUAUGAAACUCCGAAUUCCGGCAAGUGUUAUCUCGGGAGGCAGACUGCGGGUGAUAAGAUCCGUAGUCGAGAGGGAAAGAGCCCAGAUCGUCAGCUAAGGUCCCUAAAUCCAUACUAAGUGGAAAACGAUGUGGGAGCGCUUAGACAACCAGGAGGUUGGCUUAGAAGCAGCCACCCUUUAAAGAAAGCGUAAUAGCUCACUGGUCAAGCGAACCUGCGCGGAAAAUAUAACGGGGCUCAAGUAUGGUACCGAAGCUACGAGUUCAGAAAUGAGCGGUAGGAGAGCAUUGGAGUUGCUGUUGAAGGUCAACCGUAAGGAUGGCUGGAGGUCCUCCAAGGGCAAAUGUGGACAUGAGUAGCGAUAAAACAGGUGAGAAACCUGUUCGCCGAAAACCUAAGGUUUCCUGGGGCAGGCUAAUCCGCCCAGGGUUAGUCGGGUCCUAAGCCGAGGCCUAGCGGCGUAGGCGAUGGAUAGCAGGUUAAUAUUCCUGCACUACCAGUUUGGUGUAGAAGCCAGCAGGGACGGAGAAGGGUAGACGAGCCGAGGACGGAUUGCUCGGUUCAAGCAAGUAGGGGUCACUUAUACGAUCAAAAGGUAAGUGAGUUAUCCCCGAGACGUGAUGUAUAGGUUCUUAGCUUCGGCGGAACCAAUUCGUUGAUCCCAUGCUUCCAAGAAAAGCUGCGGGUGGAACCGUACUGGUACCCGUACUGUAAACCGACACAGGUAGGUAGGUCGAGAAGACCAAGGCGCUUGAGAGAACUCUGGUAAAGGAACUCUGCAAAUUAACACCGUAACUUUGGGAUAAGGUGUGCCGACGAGGGUGAUGGGACUUGCUCCCUAAGCUUUUGUCGGUCGCAGCUAAGCGGGGGUAGCGACUGUUUACCAAAAACACAGGCUUCUGCUAAAUCGUAAGAUGAUGUAUAGGAGCUGACUCCUGCCCGGUGCCGGAAGGUUAAGGGGAUUGCUUAGCGCAAGCGAAGGCAUGAGCCGAAGCCCCGGUAAACGGCGGCCGUAACUAUAACGGUCCUAAGGUAGCGAAAUUCCUUGGCGGGUAAGUUCCGUCCUGCACGAAUGGAGCAACGACUUCCCCACUGUCUCUACCAGAGACUCAGCGAAAUUGAAGUCGCGGUGAAGAUACCGCGUACCCGCAGACGGACGGAAAGACCCCAUGAACCUUCACUGCAACUUGGCACUGACGUUCGGAAUGAAUUGCGUAGGAUAGGUGGGAGGCUUUGAAACCGGAUCUCCGGAUUCGGUGGAGCCAACCUUGAAAUACCACCCUGUUCAUUCUGGGCGUCUAACCUGGGCCCGUUAUCCGGGUCAGGGACAAUGUCUGGUGGGCAGUUUGACUGGGGCGGUCGCCUCCCAAAUUGUAACGGAGGCGCACGAUGGUUCCCUCAGGCUGAUUGGAAACCAGCCAGAGAGUGCAAUGGCAUAAGGGAGCUUGACUGCGAGACCGACAGGUCGAGCAGGUACGAAAGUAGGUCAUAGUGAUCCGGUGGUUCUGUAUGGAAGGGCCAUCGCUCAACGGAUAAAAGGUACUCUGGGGAUAACAGGCUUAUCUCCCCCAAGAGUUCACAUCGACGGGGAGGUUUGGCACCUCGAUGUCGGCUCAUCACAUCCUGGGGCUGAAGCAGGUCCCAAGGGUUCGGCUGUUCGCCGAUUAAAGUGGUACGCGAGCUGGGUUCAGAACGUCGUGAGACAGUUCGGUCCCUAUCCUCUGUGGGCGCAGGAGACUUGAAGAAGAGCUUUUCUUAGUACGAGAGGACCGGAAAGGACGAACCUCUGGUGAAUCAGUUGUCACGCCAGUGGCAUAGCUGGGUAGCUAAGUUCGGAAAGGAUAACCGCUGAAAGCAUCUAAGCGGGAAGCCCCCUUCGAGAUAAGGUCUCCCCGGGACUUCGGUCCCCUAAAGGGCUGUUCGAGACUAGGACGUUGAUAGGCUGGAGGUGUAAGCCCCGUGAUGGGUUUAGCUGACCAGUACUAAUCGCCCGUGAGGCUUGACC
rnacentral:rRNA from 1 species